CAAUAGCGUAUAUUAAAGUUGUUGCGGUUAAAAAGCUCGUAGUUGGAUUUCUGCUGAGAACGACCGGUCCGCCCUUUGGGUGUGUAUCUGGCUCUUUCUUGGCAUCUUCUUGGUGAACGUUGCUGCACUUGACUGUGUGGAGCGCUACCCAGGACUUUUACUUUGAGGAAAUUAGAGUGUUUCAAGCAGGCAUACGCCUUGAAUACAUUAGCAUGGAAUAAUAAGAUAGGACCUCGGUUCUAUUUUGUUGGUUUCUAGAGCUGAGGUAAUGAUUAAUAGGGAUAGUUGGGGGCAUUCGUAUUUAACUGUAAGAGGUGAAAUUCUUGGAUUUGUUAAAGACGGACUACUGCGAAAGCAUUUGCCAAGGAUGUUUNCAUUG
rnacentral:rRNA from 1 species